AUGGGAGGAUACAAAAAGUAUCCUAACUAUGUUCAUUGCAUUUCAACAGGUCUGCUGGGUAAUGUCAGCAAUUGUGGUAUCAAGAUCCAAUCAUCCAGUGAAAGCUUCAAGGCAAUUCAAUUCAAGGCCCUCUCAGCUGUGCUCUCUUCUGAAAGCUGUCUGUGGAAUCAACCAGUCAUGGAUAAAAGAACCUCUAAAGUCAGUCCUAACACACCCAUACCAAUCAUCAGAAGGCUGGCAGAUAAAUACCUAAAACCCACCCUGGCUUCCAAAAACAUAAUGAGUUUUGUACUUGGUAGGCAACUGGGGAGGCACAGAAAUUAUCUGGAUUUGUCCAAAUGGCUGUGGAUGCCGACACAAGCUGCACCAGGGUGGAGUUGGCCACUGCCAAAAAGUCAUAUAACCUACCUGCUUAUGCCUGUCCAUAAUCUUGGAAAAUGCAAAAAAAAAGUAAAAUAACAAAAUCCUCCCUUGUUUCACUGGCUAAAAUGAAAGAUGCCUGUCAGUCCUUCUAGUUUGAUAUGUUUUUAUGUUGAUAUAAUUUUCCUGAGUUACACUGGAGAGGAAAUUCUAUUCAUUAUAACAGUCUUUGCAGGGGCUCUCAGACACAGUGGAGAUGGUGAGAUCACACUUCCUAUCAGAUUUCUUUCAGCUUUAAUCUGAAAAAAAAUCAAGGGAAUAGUUGGAUAGUUCUAGGUCACUCAGGGACCCAAGACUCCUGUCCCCUAGGAAAGACAUUCACUGCCAUUCACUGCCAAGGAAGAGCACUGCUUCUCAGCUGGGCCUGAAACUGCCCUCCCCACUCCCCCAAGACCCACUCUGCUGCUGGGAGGCACCAGCAAAAGGAAUCAGGCCACGAAGAGCCUAGGCCCAGGAAAUACUCCCCAGCCCCACUGGUCCGUGCCUCUUGCCUCCAGAAGCUCCCCACAUAGCAAGCAUUCCUGUCUCUGGAGGCAGCAGGGGGAAUCCUUUCCCUUACCUAGAAUCCCAAGGUGGCCUGGCCUGGGAAAACUGCUUCCAUUUCCCAGGCAGCAUCCCCAGGAACUCAAGGAAGCCCCAGUAGCCUGCAAUAAACCAAGCAAGGCAAAGGCCCCA
rnacentral:lncRNA from 1 species